UCCAUUAGCUUUCUAAUCAACCCAUGUAACAAGUGUUAGGCCAAUAACUCCCAAGCUAGAUAGCUUUAGGGUAUUAAGUGUAAAACACUCCUCGGGCUUAAAAACUCGAGUUGAAAAGGCUUCGGAAUCAGACCUUUUUUCUUCUUUUUUUUUUGUUUUUUUGUUUUUUUGUUUUUUUGUUUUUUUGUUUUUGAAACAGUAUCAUGUACACAUGAUUGAACAAUUUAUGCAAUUCUCCCUUAACCAUGAAAGUGCUCUACAAAACUCCUUAGAAGGGUGUAGGAUAAAUAUGCAAAAGAUUCAGGUGAAGAGAAUUGGGUAAAGAAUGAUAAAGGCUUACAUAAAAGGCACAAGGGGUUGACUACGGAUAAAAUUGAUAUGGGUUGGCUGGAAAGGCUCAAACGAACGAAACAAGGCCUUUAUCACUUCCUAGGAUCCAUGUGGUUCAUGAAAUAUGCCUCAAAUAGAUAAUGAAAGUAGUUCUAGCAAACAAUUUAAACAUCCUCAAGUACUUGACCAAAAC
rnacentral:lncRNA from 1 species